CUGCGCCCUGUAAUCCAAUAGAGAGACGGUUUGCUCGACCAGGAGGGUGAGAGAGAAGGUUGGGCGGUGGGGGACAGAAGGGAGGAAAAAAAAGUCUUUUAAACUCCAAGCUUUCAGAAAGGAUCUGGUCUGAAACGCGGUGCAUGUUGCUGACAGAGGCCAGACUGGAUGAGUUUCUAAGGCCAAAGGUCCUUGAAUUUAGGCCUGGAAGUAC
rnacentral:lncRNA from 1 species